GAUGAACGCUGGCGGCGUGCCUAAUACAUGCAAGUCGAGCGAACAGACGAGGAGCUUGCUCCUCUGACGUUAGCGGCGGACGGGUGAGUAACACGUGGAUAACCUACCUAUAAGACUGGGAUAACUUCGGGAAACCGGAGCUAAUACCGGAUAAUAUAUUGAACCGCAUGGUUCAAUAGUGAAAGACGGUUUUGCUGUCACUUAUAGAUGGAUCCGCGCCGCAUUAGCUAGUUGGUAAGGUAACGGCUUACCAAGGCAACGAUGCGUAGCCGACCUGAGAGGAUGAUCGGCCACACUGGAACUGAGACACGGUCCAGACUCCUACGGGAGGCAGCAGUGGGGAAUCUUCCACAAUGGGCGAAAGCUUGACGGAGCAACGCCGCGUGAGUGAUGAAGGUCUUCGGAUCGUAAAACUCUGUUAUUAGGGAAGAACAAAUGUGUAAGUAACUAUGCACGUCUUGACGGUACCUAAUCAGAAAGCCACGGCUAACUACGUG
rnacentral:rRNA from 1 species